CGUGGAUUAUCUACCUACUGGUACGGGACAACAGUUGGAAACGACUGCUAAUACCGUAUACGCUGGUAACGGGAAAGGGGGCCUCUUCUUGAAAGCUCUCGCCAGUAGAUGAGUCCGCGUUUCAUUAGCUAGACGGUGGGGUAACGGCCUACCGUGGCAACGAUGAAUAGCAGGCCUGAGAGGGUGGCCUGCCACACUGGGACUGGAACACGGCCCAGACUCCUACGGGAGGCAGCAGUGGGGAAUAUUGCGCAAUGGACGAAAGUCUGACGCAGCGACGCCGCGUGGAGGAUGAAGGUUUUCGGAUCGUAAACUCCUGUCAAGAGGGAAGAAACCUAUUAAGAAUAAUACUCUUAGUAAUUGACGGUACCUCUAGAGGAAGCACCGGCUAAUUCAGUGCCAGCAGCCGCGGUAAUACUGAAGGUGCAAGCGUUAAUCGGAAUCACUGGGCG
rnacentral:rRNA from 1 species